rnacentral:rRNA from 1 species
UUCGCAAUGCCCGAAAGGGUGACGAUGCGACGCCGCGUGAGCGAAGAAGGCCCUAGGGUUGUAAAGCUCUGUCGAGGGUUAUGAAAUAUAGAUGGGUUAAUACCCCAUUUAUUUGACAAAAGCCCAAAAGGAAGCCACGGCUAACUCUGUGCCAGCAGCCGCGGUAAUACAGAGGUGGCGAGCGUUGUUCGGUAUUAUUGGGCGUAAAGAGCACGUAGGUGGUUUUGUAAGUCAGGUGUGAAAGCCUUCUGUUCAAAGGAAGAACGGCAUCUGAAACUGCAGAUCUUGAGUGUAGGAGGGGAGAGUGGAACUUCUGGUGGAGCGGUGAGAUGCGUAGAUAUCAGAAGGAACGUCGGCGGCGAAAGCGACUCUCUGGCCUAUUACUGACACUGAGGUGCGAAAGUUAGGGGAGCAAACGGGAUUAGAUACCCCGGUAGUCCUAACCGUAAACGAUGGGCACUAAGUAGAGGGGUUUU